UCCGUAGGGACCUGCGGAGGGAUCAUUACACAAAUAUGAAGGCGGGCUGGAACCUCUCGGGGUUACAGCCUUGCUGAAUUAUUCACCCUUGUCUUUUGCGUACUUCUUGUUUCCUUGGUGGGUUCGCCCACCACUAGGACAAACAUAAACCUUUUGUAAUUGCAAUCAGCGUCAGUAACAAAUUAAUAAUUACAACUUUCAACAACGGAUCUCUUGGUUCUGGCAUCGAUGAAGAACGCAGCGAAAUGCGAUAAGUAGUGUGAAUUGCAGAAUUCAGUGAAUCAUCGAAUCUUUGAACGCACAUUGCGCCCUUUGGUAUUCCAAAGGGCAUGCCUGUUCGAGCGUCAUUUGUACCCUCAAGCUUUGCUUGGUGUUGGGCGUCUUGUCUCUAGCUUUGCUGGAGACUCGCCUUAAAGUAAUUGGCAGCCGGCCUACUGGUUUCGGAGCGCAGCACAAGUCGCACUCUCUAUCAGCAAAGGUCUAGCAUCCAUUAAGCCUUUUUUUCAACUUUUGACCUCGGAUCAGGUAGGGAUACCCGCUGAACUUAAGCAUAUCAAAAGGCGGGAGGA
rnacentral:rRNA from 1 species